rnacentral:rRNA from 1 species
UUGGAAACGAAGAUUAAUACCUCAUAGUAUUACAACAUCGCAUGGUGAUGUAAUUAAAGGUUACGGUACAAGAUGAGUAUGCGUCCUAUUAGCUAGAUGGUGUGGUAACGGCAUACCAUGGCGACGAUAGGUAGGGGUCCUGAGAGGGAGAUCCCCCACACUGGUACUGAGACACGGACCAGACUCCUACGGGAGGCAGCAGUGAGGAAUAUUGGACAAUGGAGGCAACUCUGAUCCAGCCAUGCCGCGUGCAGGAAGACUGCCCUAUGGGUUGUAAACUGCUUUUAUACAGGAAGAAACAGUUCUACGUGUAGAACCUUGACGGUACUGUAAGAAUAAGGAUCGGCUAACUCCGUGCCAGCAGCCGCGGUAAUACGGAGGAUCCAAGCGUUAUCCGGAAUCAUUGGGUUUAAAGGGUCCGUAGUGGAUAAUUAAGUCAGAGGUGAAAUCCUGCAGCUUAACUGUAGAAUUGCCUUUGAUACUGGUUAUCUUGAGUCAUUAUGAAGUAGUUAGAAUAUGUAGUGUAGCGGUGAAAUGCAUAGAUAUUACAUAGAAUACCAAUUGCGAAGCAGAUUACUAAUAAUGUACUGACACUGAUGGACGAAAGCGUGGGGAGCGAACAGGAUUAGAUACCCUGGUAGUCCACGCCGUAAACGAUGGUCACUAGCUGUUCGGACUUCGGUUUGAGUGGCUAAGCGAAAGUGAUAAGUGACCCACCUGGGGAGU